rnacentral:rRNA from 1 species
UACGUAGGGGGGCAAGCGUUGUCCGGAUUUAUUGGGCGUAAAGAGCGUGUAGGCGGCCAUACAGGUCAGCUGUGAAAACUCGAGGCUCAACCUCGAGACGUCGGUUGAAACCGUAUGGCUAGAGUCCGGAAGAGGAGAGUGGAAUUCCCGGUGUAGCGGUGAAAUGACGCAGAUAUCGGGAGGAACACCUGUGGCGAAAGCGGCUCGACUG